rnacentral:rRNA from 1 species
AUUGAACGCUGGUGGAAUGCUUUACACAUGCAAGUCGAACGGCAGCACGGACUUCGGUCUGGUGGCGAGUGGCGAACGGGUGAGUAAUGUAUCGGAACGUGCCCAGUCGUGGGGGAUAACGUAGUGAAAAUUACGCUAAUACCGCAUACGAUCUAUGGAUGAAAGCGGGGGAUCGCAAGACCUCGCGCGAUUGGAGCGGCCGAUAUCAGAUUAGGUAGUUGGUGGGGUAAAGGCCCACCAAGCCAACGAUCUGUAGCUGGUCUGAGAGGACGACCAGCCACACUGGAACUGAGACACGGUCCAGACUCCUACGGGAGGCAGCAGUGGGGAAUAUUGGACAAUGGGGGCAACCCUGAUCCAGCGAUGCCGCGUGGGUGAAGAAGGCCUUCGGGUUGUAAAGCCCUUUAAGAUGGGAAGAAGAGUGUGAGAGUAAUAUGCUCAUGCUUUGACGGUACCGUCAGAAUAAGCACCGGCAAACUCUGUGCCAGCAGCCGCCGCGG